UGCUGGCCAAGCCCACACAUGGUGACAUCAUCAGAUUUGCUCCGCCCCUCGUCAUCUCAGAACCACAGUUAAAUGAAUGCAUCAGCAUCAUCAAGAACACAAUAGAGAAGCUUUGAAUAAAAAGACACUAUAAGUGUGAAUUUCAUAUUGUGCAUAAUUCAAUUUAUGUCAGUUAGAAUAAGAUGCAUUGGAUUAUUGGUGCAACAUAAGAGUAAAAAAAAAUCCAAUUUGCAUUGGAAGCAAUUUUUAAAAAUCCUUUCUAACUACGUAUACAUGCAUCUUAUUUUCAAAAAUUUUUUGUUGUUGCUCUUUCAUUGCUUGAUAUUUUUUUUAAGAAAUGUAACACGAUUCUAAUUGCUUUUGAAUUCCAUAAUGGUAUUUUUAUUUUGAUAAAAUCUAUUUGCUGUAUUUUUUGUGAUAGAUUGUCUGCCUCUUUACAUUGUUGUUACUUCUUUUUAGUGAAGUGACUGUACAUAUUUAUACUUUAAAAAAAAAGAGGUAUAUAUUAGCAAAAAUCUCACUUUCUGAACUCAAGUUGUUUAAUCAUUUUAAGUGCUACACUGUUUUGAUAUAGAUCUGAAGUUGUUGUCGGAGAUUUAUCAGCAAGAUAUACUUGCUUUUGAUAUUCAUUGUGAAAUCUCAAAUAAAUACCAAUUUCACUUUUG
rnacentral:misc_RNA from 1 species